GACGAACGCUGGCGGCGUGCUUAACACAUGCAAGUCGAACGCUGAAGCUCAGCUUUUGUUGGGUGGAUGAGUGGCGAACGGGUGAGUAACUCGUGAGUAACCUGCCUCCUUCUUUGGGAUAACGCCCGGAAACGGGUGCUAAUACUGGAUAUUCACUGGUCUUCGCAUGGGGGUUGGUGGAAAGGGUUUUUCUGGUGGGGGAUGGGCUCGCGGCCUAUCAGCUUGUUGGUGGGGUGAUGGCCUACCAAGGCUUUGACGGGUAGCCGGCCUGAGAGGGUGACCGGUCACAUUGGGACUGAGAUACGGCCCAGACUCCUACGGGAGGCAGCAGUGGGGAAUAUUGCACAAUGGGCGCAAGCCUGAUGCAGCGACGCCGCGUGAGGGAUGGAGGCCUUCGGGUUGUGAACCUCUUUCGCUCAUGGUCAAGCCGCAACAAUGGUUGUGGUGAGGGUAGUGGGUAAAGAAGCGCCGGCUAACUACGU
rnacentral:rRNA from 1 species